AUUGAACGCUGGCGGCAUGCUUUACACAUGCAAGUCGAACGGUAACAGGGUGCUUGCACCGCUGACGUGUGGCGAACGGGUGAGUAAUGCGUCGGAACGUGCCGAGUAGUGGGGGAUAACGCAGCGAAAGUUGUGCUAAUACCGCAUACGUACUGAGGUAGAAAGUGGGGGACCUUCGGGCCUCACGCUAUUCGAGCGGCCGACGUCUGAUUAGCUAGUAGGUGAGGUAAAGGCUCACCUAGGCGACGACCAGUAGCGGGUCUGAGAGGAUGAUCCGCCACACUGGGACUGAGAAACGGCCCAGACGCCUACGGGAGGCAGAGGUGGGGAAUUUUGGACAAUGGGCGAAAGCCUGAUCCAGCCAUGCCGCGUGUCUGAAGAAGGCCUUCGGGUUGUAAAGGACUUUUGUCAGGGAGGAAAUCCCUAGUGCUAAUAACACUGGGGGAUGACAGUACCUGAAGAAUAAGCACCGGCUAACUACGUGCCAGCAGCCGCCGUAA
rnacentral:rRNA from 1 species